CUCAGCAUGUUUAUUUCCAGGAAAAGUUGGGAACAGUGCUGUCUGAGGAAUGUCUAUCACUGCUGUGAUAGAAAUGCUCCUCAUCUUCUGGGCAGACAGGAAUUUUCAAGGCCAGAAAUUGUUUCUACAAAGCCCCUGGCAACUAAAGCCAUAAACCACUUCUUGCUGACUACUGUGAACUUGGUCUGUAGCUGGGAUCAGGGAGGAGAAGCAGGAACAAGGGACACAGCUCACCCAUUCCAGUAAAGCAGCAGCAGCAGGAGGAGGAAGAGAAGACCUGGAAGGUGAGAGAGAUGGAUUUGGAAAGCUGCCAACUGUUAAAUCCUUUCCACCUGCUCAGCUACUUCAGAUAAAGGUAAGUGCUAAUAAAAAAAAAUAAAAA
rnacentral:lncRNA from 1 species